rnacentral:lncRNA from 1 species
UUUUUUUUUUUUUUUUGUCAAAAACUAAUCUCAUCUUUAUAAAAGGGGAUUAUAUUCUUUGAAGAUGAUAUGAACCACAUGUUUACUUACAGGGUAAUACCAAAAAUAAAUAAAUAAAUAAAUUCAUUGUGCCAGGAACAGGUUCCAGAACACUAGAUGUCAUAAUACAAUAGGUUGAAUUUUUUUUUUCCAAGUUUUCAACCGGUUUUGAUCCGUGUUCUCGGCACACUAAAAAACCUCUUAAUAUUAGGGAGACCAUCUAUUAAAGCAUAUUUUGUAAAUCACAUGACAUGGUUGUUGAUGAUUAAAUUAUUACUUAAAUGUUGAUAAACGUGCUUAUUUUCUAUCAAUGCACAUCAAAUGCAAAUAUGAUCAAAAAAUUAAUCUACAUAGCAUUACUCCUACUUAUAUAAAAUGAGUAUUGGUAUUUUUCCGAUUCUUAACUUCACUCUUUUUACAAAUUUUCUAUUUACUAAAACAUGGAUAUUAUAACUAUUUUUAUUACUAACACACAUGUAUUAUAAAGUGUGGAUUCCACAUUAAUGACAUAUUUUAGAAUCAUUAUGAUUCUUGAGUGUUUCGUGCUUAUCAUAAUACAGGUGUUUAGAAUCAUUUCAUGACAUUGUCAUACGUAUUGGUUCCCAUCUCAAUACCAAGUAAACAUGUCCUCAACUCUAAACUUUUCUUAUGUUUACUAAUACAUAUAGAAUUAGAGAAAAUGCGGGUUUCUCCUUGAAAUAUAUAAACGAAUACCUGAAAAUUGAGAUUAAGAUUAACUUAGGAAUUAAUUGAUCUGAAUACAUUUCCUUACUUCUCAUAUUCCUAAAUUCCCCAAUUCACGUCUCCUCACAUUCACAUUAAGUAACACAUGUCACAAAAUUCAUAAUUUAAUACCCGAAAUUAAGAAAACGAUUUCUGAACGUUUUUUUUUCUUCUAUUUUUGUUUCUUAAUUAUUUUUUUUAAUUAGUCACUCUAAAAGCUAGAAAUAAAAAAAAAGGUAAUGAGCCCACCUCAACUCAAUCCUUGUUAUUUUGGGAUUUAGAAGAGAAUGGACCACAUAAAUAUGUAAUUUACAACUCUGAAUGUGAGGAAUAUUCUUUUGGCAUUUCGAACCACUCUUAUACUCUUUUAUUUUCUUUUAAUAAAUUUUCUAUUAUUAAAUUAAUAUAUUGUAUUGAAUUAAAUAAAUAUUAGUUAAUUAAAUAUUAAAUAAUAUGAGACUCGAAAUGAAAGUACCCUUCUUGCAUACAUUCCCCAUUAUGUUGUCGGAACAAAAAUAUUGCAUGUAUCAAUAUGGAUGGAAAUAUUUAGUACAUGAAAUAGCGAUUUGCUAGAUAUAUAUAAAUAGAUGUAUAAGAUAUAACUAAUAAAACGGAUCUUGUGUUCUGGAAUUGGAAUCAAAGAAAGAUAUUAAAAUGACUCGCAUGUUGUGACUUGGAAUAAAUGUUUCUUGGUAAAGGAAGGGAAUAGUAAUUUAUUCAUUCCUAAUUUAUUCCUAUAGAACGUCUAGAAACAAGAAGAUUAAAUCGGAUAUAUCGACAGAUUCCCGCGUAGUCCAAAGAAAAAAAAGAUCCAAUAUACCGUAACGAAGUAUGAUUCUCUUCUCUUUUUCUUUUUUCCCUUCUUGUUUUUCCUUCUUCUUCUUUCCCCUUCUAUUUGAACGGAUAUGGUUAAAACACGCUAAUUUUUUAUAUAUAUUUUUUUAGAGAGAGACAAAAUGGAGAGUGUGAGAGGACUGGAGAGAAGGAGGUGAAAAUAAGAAGGGAAAGAAUCUAAGUUUGACAGUGACAUAAUGUUUUUGUCUAAAUCAAUGACGUGGACAAAAAUAACAUAUAUUUUAUUUCAUUGUGAAGAGACAACUGUAGCAGUUUCAAGAAGGUCUUAUAUAGGACAGUUACACUGUUACAGUUACACUUCUUACCACCGAAGUAAAGGCAUGCUUACGUUUUUGUCCAGAUGUCAUUGUUUCAUUAGCACAUUACCUUGAGGUCUGGAGAAAGUUGCUAAGGUUUUUCUAAUCCUCCAUUCUCGAAAGGAAGAACAUAAAAUUCUUUUUCCUUUCCACAAAGAUCAGGAGAUUAGAUCUAGCUGUAAAAAAAAUACUGCAAUAUAAAAAUGUUCCCCUACCAUUUAAGUCGUCACCCCCCCUCUCUAUCUCUCUCAUAUUUCUGCUUAUCACAAUAGAAAUAAGUUGCCCAUACCAUUUAAGUCGUCUUCUCUCUCUCUCUCUCUCUCUCUCUCUCUCUCUCUCUCUCUCAUAUUUCUGCUUAUCACAACAGAAAUAAGUUGCAAUAAGGAUAACGAUUUCUGAUUUCAAAACACACAUUUCUGAGCUCUGACCAAAAUAAAAAAAAUUAACACACUUACUGACCGAAAAGUCAAACGGCCGCUUCGUGAAGAGGAUGACACAGAGGAGAAAGAACCACGAUAAAAACGUUUUUGUUUUUAAUUUUCUGUUGUGUGUGUGUCAGUGCGUGUAUGUUUAGGUCAACAAUUCUACAUAUUGUUUAUUUUGUAAAUGAGUUUCUUGGUAGUGGGUUUUAUUGGUCACCAAAGUAUUCAUGAUUUAUUGUUUUUGUUUCAAAACAAAAUUAAUUAAAGAACAGAUAAUUAGUGAUUAGUUUAUGCCAUGUGGGAUUGAUUAAAGUGUGAAUCUACAUAUACCUAAUACCACCCCCCAAAAGGUACUCCAUCAUUUUAAGGAUGUAAUAUUCACAUACUCGUUCUAUUUUUUACAUAUUUUUAUUAAUAUUUGACUAUUGAUUUUCUCCGGAUUUAGUACUAUCAUGCAUUCAAUAUCAUUUGAUAUAAUAACAUCAUUUGUUUUAUAAAAAUGUCAUUACCACGUGAAUUGAUGUCCCUUUUUUUUGGCAUGUGGAUAUGAAACCAUAAUGCAAUACUGCGGUGCUGGUGGUGGUGGAAGCGGUCAACUAUAUACAUAGUACAUAAGAGAGAAAAUUAAUAGUUAAGUUGGAAAGAAUCGUUCUAUGAAAUUAUCUUAAUAUACGUAAAAUUACUUGUUGUAAUUGCGUAUUAGAAAUCAUCGUAUUACGUAUAUGUGAAAUGCAUUCGUAUAUGAGAUAACCUUCCAUGUGUCCAAUUGAUUAUUGUUCCAGUCGUAGUUUUUUUUUCUGUUUGGUUAGAAGAUCUCAUAGGUUUCAUUUAACAGACAAGAUGCAAAACGAUGAACAUUUGCGAUAAGUUGAUGCCUAGUUGCGACUAUUCAUAUUACGAGAAUAUUUUGUUUACUAGUCUCAAGUAAUGGUGAUGUUCAUCACCCAAUUUAUCAAAGGUAGAUAAAUUUGAAUUUCAAAAUCUGUAUAGUUAAUAGACACAAAUCUCACAAACUCAUCAAAUAGUAAUAAAUAUGGUGGUGAACAUUAAUAUAACGAGUGUUUGUUCAACAACUCUUUUACAAUUUAUAAAAAAAUAAAAUGCAAAAUAAAAGUUAUUUAUUUUCUAUCUAAGUGAGAAUCGCGAUCUAGGCAGGUGCCUAAACAUCAUUUAUUAAUUUUCAAAUGCCUAAAAAAUGCUAGGUGGAAGUUUUUAAAACAGUGCUUGAGAGUGCUAAGCAAAAAUACACUAUUCAUAUCAUGGAAGUGUAUCUUUGUUGGCAGAUGGGACUAUUUUUAUAAAGGAUAAUAAUUAUUAUUAAGAUAUUUUUCGGGGAUUGUUAUUGGCAUACUAGCAUUCUCAUUUUGCAUUUCAAAUUGUUUAUAUUUAGAAAGAAAAAUAAACUUAUAAAGUGUGCAUAAUAAGAUUUUUAGAAUAUCAAUGACAUUUACUAUUUUUAUAGCUCAUUCUGAAAAAACAUCUUCAUAAAUACAAUUGUUUUUCUUAAAAAAAUUAUUAUUAGCAAUCAAAAUGAGUCAUUAUGCAUUAUUUCUUCUUUGUAAUUUUUUUAUCAUAAAAGAGUGCAUAAUAAAUUUUUGAAAUAAUAACUCCCAAACAACAUUAUCGUUAAAAACAAACAAAAUAAGGCAAGUGAUCAUUUAUUAUAGUAGUGGAAAGAUAUUGACCUCUCAUACAUAAUAACGUGAGUUCAAAUUUUAUCGAUGACUAAUUUAAAAUCUAAUCUAACAAAAUUUAUCGCUUAACAAAAAAAAGAAAAAGACAUAAAUCUCCUCUUUUUGUUGGGAAACUAAAAAAAAUCUUCCUUGGAUUCCAAGAUAUUCGCAUCACAAAUACAAAUUAAUUUCAAAUUAGAUGAUUAAAUGUAGUAAAAGUCCAAUGAUGUUUUUGAGCCACCUACACUUUAUUUUCUUUCUUAAAAAACAAAGGUGCAAAAUUUUCAGAACACAGGACGGAACAUUAUAUAUCAUCAUGCAAUUAUAUAACAAAUCAAUUAUCUAGUAAAUUAUAUAAUAAUACGUAAUAUUUCGCCUCGAAUUUCAAGCUCACUAUAAUAUCUCUCUAACAGGUCAGGUUUGUGUAACUUACCCUCGAGAAACAGAAAACUAAUGUUGUUAUUGGACAAGUAAAAUCUCCAUUAAAAAAUACAAAAUCCAUUCUAAUUUUUACAUAAUUUAAUUGAAAUAAAUAAAAAAUUAGAUUUUAAUAAACCUAAUUAGCUAAUAAAAACAGAACCACCUAAGUCAUAACCGGAAUCGAAAAAAGUGACCGAAGAAAAACUGGAAACAAAAUUAAAAAAUUAUUAAAUUUGUUUUCCUUUUUGAAAAAUUAAAUUAUAAACGGUCAGAAUUAGAAACUCAGAGCCAUAAAAUCAAUAUUCCUUUCAAUCCUGAUUCCUGGAUAUAAAAGAACAACACCCAGAAUUUCAAUUCUCUCUCUCUAUCCCAAUUAUAUUGAAAACCCCAUUCUCUCUCUCCUCUCCCUCUCUCUCUCUCUUUCUCUCUCUCUCUCUCUGGGAGUACCCUUUUGAUCUCGCUUGCUUUGAUCGGUUUUCGUUUCGGUGAGGUUUUUCUUCUACCCCGAUUUCACUGAAAUUCUCAAACUUUUUCAUGAUUUUCUUUUUAUUUGCUGCAAUUUUUGAAGCUUUUGUGGCCGUUAGCGUUUAAUUUGAGCUCUAGGGUUUUUUGCUCCUUCCGAUUACAAUUUCGACGAUUUCGUUAUGUGUAAUCUUGUAAUUGAAUUGGUUUUUUUUUUCUUCUUUUGCAGGAACUUUUUGAAGAAAUUCGGCAUUCUUCGGAUAUAAUCCCUUUGUUUAUGAUAAUAAAGUAUGUAAUUUUGUACUUAUGUUAAUUUUUUUUUUCUAAGAGUUCGGGAAAUUGAUUUAUUUUUUGUUGAAAUAAAUUUGGGUUUCUUCUGAUUUUCUUAGGAAAGUCAAAGAAAUUAAAAAAAAAAACUUCAAAUUUAAAUAAAUAUUACAUAUAAUUUGCCCCCCUUUAAACUGAUGAGCAAAACUAAGGGGUAAUUUAUAUAUAUCCAACACAGUACACGAAUUUAUGGAACCAAGUUUGUUGAGGUUAUCAUCUGCAUGUUACUUUUUUUUUUUUCAAUUUUUUAAUUUUUAUGUUAUAUUAGAUUUUAUGGUCUAAAUCUGUGAUUGUAUAAGCUGUGUGGUAUUGUAUUUUCUGUCGCUUGAUUUUCUUUCUUAACGAGGUUUGUCAAUAUAGGACUUGUUCUUGUUGUUUUCGUAGCUCAUAGAAUCUCAUAAUUAUGAUAAUUCGCACGUAGCUGCUGAUUACGUUGAUUUGGAGUGUAUUGUUUGUUUUCGCCCAUGAACCUUUGUAUUGUUUGUUUUCGACCAUGAACCUUAGCUCAAGUGGCAUGAGAAGGGUGAGGUGAGUAUGAAGAUCCUAGGUUUGAAUCGAAAAAGGACGUAUAGUUUGUGACCAUGAGAUGAAUGCUAUACUUAAACGUGUAUGUUUGGCUGAGUGGGAUUCUUUAGUAGAUGGGUUAAUCAAUAAUGGGGAAGUUUUUUACUUUCUGAGGAGAAUAGGAAGUUACGUAUGGAAUUAGUUUGGACAAAGUCAUGGAUAAGACUUCUUUGUAUGGUUUACGGGAUGUGAUGAGAAUGGUAAUAUUUGUUGGUAUAAAUUUGGAAGAGUGAACUUCUCUUCCACAUUUUCUUAAAAAUAUUUUUUUUUAACAGUGAAACCUGUGCUUCCCCCUUCAUUUAGUUUCAGGUGCACUUGGUAUCUUUUAAGGUUACAAACUUGUGGUAGAGAGUAGUAGACUAAGACAAGCAGUGGGUAUUUGUUUUAUCAAAGUAUGCUUUCAUCAUGUUUCACUGGGGAUUCAUGAUUUUAGUUAUCUUUAAAAAGAAUGAAAUAUGCUGGAUAAUUGGAUUUUUGGCAACCUAAAGAGUUCACAUUAUCUCGUAUGGUGGAUGAAAGGAGCAGUUUUCUUUUUGAGAUAUUUCUUGCUGCUUGAGGGUUUUCUUAUGCUUUCCUUCCACUCCUGAAGUAUUUUGUGGUCAAUGUGAUCUCCCCGUUAUUGUGGCUGCAUGGACUAACCUUUUGCUUGAGUGUCUAUGUUGAUUUGUGCAUUUUGAGUAUCAAUUUUCAGUUACCAUGUUACUGUAUAAUUGACCGAACCUUAAUUGGGAGAUUGAUUUAGACGUUCUACCGAACCUUAGGUUAUUUUUAUUGUGAUUGACAGUGACGUUGGUUGUGCUUAGUUACAAGAUUUUAACUUCCUACUCUAGAAGACUAUGACUUUUUUUUUCCCUCCUUUUUGAACAAAAAAAUUUAUAUAGAAAAUGACCUUAUUUUUAUUUUUCAAAGAUUGUAUAUAAUAUAACUGAAUCAUUCGUAAAGGAUGGUAAAUGAAAUUAGUGCUAAAGUCUGAACGUUGGAGGGUAUAACAUAUAGACCUGUUCACCCACUCCACGGGGAGUGAGGAAUUCCACGGUCAACCUACCUUUCAGCUACUAGAUGGACACUUAUAUUGUCUGUAAACACUAAAAUAAUAGCUGAGGAUAGUCAAGUGCUUAAAUGAUUGCACAUUUGGAUUAUUUUUUGCAUGAUCCUUAAAUGGACACUUUAAAAAUAAAUGGUUUAGAUAAUUGAAUCACAAUGUAUAGUGGAUCCCAAAAAGUUGGUAACCCUGGAACUGCUUGCUCACUAUGAAGUGGGUAACUGGACCAUGUAUGCAUCUAAAUGUUUUUUUUUUGACUUGUUCCAUGUUCUAUAAUGUCCUAACUGAUCAUCUGACUGAUUUUUGUAGAUACAUUGGCUGGAGCGAAGGGAUUAUUUGCGACUUCAAUGGGGCAAAGAAAUAUGCUAUGCCCUAGUCAGAUGAUCGAUUUGGAAAUGAGUCAACAAGGGGAAGGUUAUCCCUGUCCCCCACCCUCCGUCCAUUUUGGGGGCGCUUCUAGUAUCCAACUGCACAAUGUUCACACAAUGGUAACAGCUUCAGGGGGCACUACUAGUUUUGAUGCCCAACAUUUACCCGAGGGUUAUGAUAAUGCCGCAUUCUAUGGGAUGGCCCAGUACAGUGGUGUUCAGCAUCAUCAUAAUCUUGAUUUGGGCAUUGCGACUCCAGCCAACUAUUAUUAUUCGUACAUGACUCCUUCGUCUAGUACUGGGGUGUUACCUGUUCCUCUAAAUCACGGUGCUUCUGAUCCGUCGCCAUCUUCUAGCCAUUAUGGAGCCAUUGGAAUUUCUGCAGAUGAGUAUGGUAGAAAUAGUCGCAUAAUGGAUGAUGCUAGAGGUCAGUUUAAGAGAAAAAACCCUGAAGGCCUACCAGGGAAUUUCCAAUAUUUUAAUGCCUCUGCAACCCCUAGUUCUUCAGUGCCUCCUUUGAAUUUGAGGAAUCCUGAUGGAGUUGCUGUAAUGGAUGCUGUAACUUAUGCCUUGCCUCAGUAUGCGGGAACUGGCAAUCCACCAAUUAUGGAAGCAGGACCUCAGAGUAGUAUGAGGAACAGAUCAGCUACAGCUGGGCUUGAUUCUGUUAUGACACAUGACCAUAACCAUCUGAAUCAAGUAAAUUAUGCGGGUCAGCGCUUUCAGCCGGCUGGAACACUUUGGUUGGAUCAACAUUUAAGUAGUAACAGUGGGGAUGGAAGUUCUCCAUCCUGGAAUCCAGUUCCUACUAUUCCUUUUAUGCAUGGUCAGUACUUGCUUGUAUUUUCUUCCCUUAUAAUUGGACUCCUAUUUGCAUCUGAUUAGGUCAUUUAAUGUCAGAAAGGUCAUGUUUCAGUUGCUCUUACAACGUAUUGAUCUAAUUAAGGAAACACACCUAUGUGUCUUAAUUUAAUGAUCAAUGUGCUAAUUAUUAAUUGGAACACUUUGUCUCUGUGCUCAUUCUCACAGGGGGUAAUGUCACAGUAGGUUCUAUGGACAGCGCAAACAUGGGUAUGCAAAGAUAUCAUGAUUCAUCUAGCAACAGAAAUUCCUCUAUUCUCCGGCAUCCUCCUCCGCUCAACCACCGCCAUCAUAAUCAGCAUGUAGCACCACCCAUGCAAGGAUUAAGAGGCCACAACCUUAAUUUUAUCCCCCAGGGUGCCACAGCAGCUUCAUAUAGAUUACCCACAAGUUCCUCGCGCAGCACCAUGAAUCCUUCUCAGAAUGGUUUGGAGAUUGGUCGUAGGCAACCAGGAUCUAUUCCCUCGAAUGGUUUUAGGAUAUACAGGCCACACCAAGGAGUUAUUCCCGAGGCAGCUUUAAGACACCAGAACCUUCCCCACUUCAGAGUUCUUCAGGCUGAUGUAAUCUCUCUCUCUGUCUCUCUGUGUCUCUGUGUCUCUGUGUCUCUCUCUCUCUCUCUCUCUCUCUCUCUAUAUAUAUAUAUAUAUCGCUUGCGUGUUAUUUGGAAGUGUGGUAUAUGCAUUUAGUAUUUACCACCUACGUUUGAGAUUAUAUUUGGCUGAACCUUUUUGGAUUUUUUUUUUUGUAGGAGGGUGUCAUAGUAGAUGUUCCUAAUUUAUAUGGAAGCUUUCUUGACCAGCACAGAGACAUGCGGUUGGACAUAGAGGACAUGUCCUAUGAGGUAAACUGAAGUAGUUCCAUUCUUACCUAUUUGUUCAUUUAGAUACAUCAACGAAUUGCUGAAUCGUGCAGAUAAGCAAAAGAUAAAAGAGUUCCUUAGCUAUGCCAAUGGAUUCUCAGAUAUAUUUAUGUUCCUACUGCUUUUAUUCUGUUAUUCCGAUAGUUAUGCUGCUUCUGCAGAGUUUUAACCUGAAAACUCCACUUUCGACUGCAGGAGCUUCUUGCAUUGGGGGAGCAAAUUGGCCAUGUAAACACUGGGUUGUCAGAUGAGGCCAUUAGAAAACAACUAAAGACAAGGUCUUAUUUAUCAUCUUCAAUUAAUUUAAACCUCGAAGAUGCUGGAUCCCCAGAGAAGGAAGCCGAUUCCUGCAUUAUAUGCCAGGUACCAUAAAUCUCGUUCCAACAUAUUUUUCGUCUUGAUGGUUAUGUGCAAUUGAGUAGCUUCAUACUCGUGAAUCUCUAAUAGUUACCAUUUAAGAAAAUAAAUACGAUCUUGCCGGUCAAUUCACCAUUGUUGCGUUUGGGAUUUUACAGGAUAAUUACAAGAACCGCGAGAAGAUAGGAAUUCUCCACUGCGGACACGAGUAUCAUGCAAGUUGCUUGAAGAAGUGGUUGCUUGUGAAAAAUGUGUGCCCCAUCUGCAAAUCCGAAGCGUUGAACACAGGGAAGAAGAAUGUAUAGAAGGGGCGACAGUUGAAUGACAAAGGAUUCUUCCUUUGUUCUUUCAUCUAACUUUAUUUUGUUAUAUAUUUUUGUAUAUGCACCGGCAUAUAAUAUAUAUCGACCAACUGUUACCAACAUUGGUCAUGUACCUAUCAAACUUGUACAGACUUUUUAAAUUUUUUUUUUUAAUUAUUCUGCCUCUGCGGUCGCACUUGGUGCGAUGGCAAGUGCCUUCGCCUAUGAGUGGUAGGUCUCGGGUUCGAGACUUGGGAGGAGUCUCUCCAUAAAUGAGGGUAAGGCUAGCCGACAUUCACCUCUCCCAGACCCUGCGUAAAGCGGGAGCCUUGUGCACUGGGUACGACCUUUUUAAUUAUUCUGCCUCUGCGGUAUUACUCUUGGUAAUUAAGCCACAUCUUGUUCAAUUGUGUCAACUAUUUGUUUAUUUUUUUUGAAUAAUUCGUCUUUGUCGAUGAAAAAUGAUCGGCCGACGCUGAAUUAUGACUAUGUUUGAAAGAGAAUGUAAUGUUUUUGUUCGUUAUAUUGAUAUUAAGCACUGUAAAUUUCAUGUUGCAUGUUUGUGGUGUGUAGCUCCGUUGGUGACUAAUUGGAUAUGGAAUAUGGUACAAGCUACGAGAUUCUUUUGAGAGAUUAUAAUCUCUAAAUUUGAGAAUCUAUUUGACAAAAUAUAGUAAAACUUCAAUGAUUUAAUAUCUAAUUAAUUAAUAAUCACGGUUAAAUAAUAUUUUAGGUCGGUAUUGACUUGGAAUAAUGUGUUUCGUUAAAGGUUUGCGAAAUUUAUAAUAUUAGACAUCAUACAAAAAUUCAUACAAGUCUCACGCAAUACAUAAAUUAAUAGUUUCUUGAUUUCUUUACACCUUUAAGAUGAGAAGCCAUUGAUGUAUGUAUGAUGUGUUGUGUUACUACGGCUUUUUUACUUGAAUAGAGUUUUUGCUUGGUUAAAUGUUUAUAAAAUAAACAAUGGAAACUUUGGAUGCAAUCCUUAGCUAUGAAUAUUGUUUGACUAAAACCUUGUUGAUUUUUAAUUUUUGAUCGAAGUCUCUGAAAUUAAUGUGAUAAUUUAUUUCUAUGUAUGUUACUAUAUUUUUUAAAUUAAAAAUUAAAAUUUAUAGUUGUUUAUAUUAAUGAGAUUUUAAAUAGUGAGAUUAAAAAUAUUAAAAUAUAAAUAUACUAUUGUGUGUGUAUAUAUAUAAAAACAUGGGUACAUUCAUAAAAAAUAACCAAAAAUUAUUGUACCAAAACAUGGGUACAUUCUUCAAAAUCACAAAAAACGAAGAGAAUAUUAGGUAUAAUAACAUUAGUAAAUUUCUUCAAUUAAACUUGAUAGGAAUACAUUCUCAAGUCAAAGAAAAAAAAAUGUACACAUAUAAGUUUAAAAAUGGAUUAGAAAAAAAUUGAAUAGAUUUUAUAUAUAAAAAAGGUACAUUUUACAUAUAACAAAUUGGUAUAUUUAAAAAUGAGUACAUUUUAAGAUUAAAAAUUUGAAAAAAAAAUUACAUGAAUGGGUACAUAUAAGAUUAAAAUAUUUAAAAUAUUUUUUAAAAAAGCUAAUGGGUACAAACUUAUUCUAAUUUUUUAAUUUAUUUUGGAAAUGUUUUGAAUUGAAAAUUAGUUAGGAGUUUAAUAAAGGUGAGAGUAUUACAAUUCUAAAUCAAUUAUUAAUUUUUAUUUUAAAAAAAUUAUGUAACUGACAUUUAAAUUCAUUAUUACAUUCAUACUAGAGACUUUGAUCAAAAUCUGAAAACUAAUAAUGUUUCAGUCAAUGAACAUUAGUAACUAGGGACCGGAUAGUAAUUUUUCCAUAGAACAAUAUAUUACAUUGAACAAUGUACAAUUUAUUUUUUAAAAUAAUAUAAGAUUCAUAAAUUUUACUUGAUUAAACAAACUACAUAAAAGUAUAUUGGUCCAAGGCUUUUUUAUUUUUUUAAUAAUACUAUAUUAUUUUUUAAUACCCCGUAUUUAAAAAAAAUUGUUAUAUAUAUAUGUGUCACUGCCCGUCCCGAAAAUUCAGUUAUCGUGGAUGUGAUUUGACGAAAUUGCCCUUAAAGGUUACUAAGGUAUGUGUGACUUGUUUAAUUUGAAUAAUUCAUACAUUCCUAAGUUUUUGGAAAAAUUGAGUUGGAUUAAAAAAAUUGGUUUGCAUUUAGUGUGGUUAGGGGAAUGACACACACUCAAAACAAACCUCACACUCUCUCCCCUCACCCCUCACCCCGUGCCCUCUCUCUCUUCCCUCUCAAUUCACUCUUCCUCUCUCCCUCUCGAACUCGUACGGACAAGAACCAAAAACCCUCAAAUCUCCACGGAUCGAUGUAAAAAAGGUGAGUUCCUUUAUCCUUGCAAGCUUGUGAGUUUAUUGGUACCAUUUUUGAACUUAAAACCUUCGAAAACUCCUGAAAUCCGAACCCCCAGUUUGAGUACUGUUCAUGCACACGUGAAAUGUUGACUUCAGGGAAUUCUAAGCUUACAUGGAGCUUAGUGAGGUCCCAAGGAAGCUCGGAGUACUUAGUUUGAAGGUUUUGGACGUCGGGAUUGUAGGGUUCAAAGUUGGCCGGUUUUCUUGGAUUUUCUCCGGUGAGAUUUCGUGUGUUUUUGAGCCUUAAAUUAGUAUAAUGAUUCUACAUGCUUAGGGCUUUAUUUUGAUGUAAAAUGCAUAAAAAAUGGUUGAGAAUUGACGGAGAAAAUGGAGUUUGAAAAAUCUCCAGUUUUCCGGCGCCGGCGAAACCAGUCCGACGACUGGAGGUAAGGGACGACGCGCGUGGGGGCGCGCAGGUCCGUACCAUUCCUCGUGCGUGAGGGCGCAUGGCAAGUCAAAAAUUUUUCUAAAAAUUUGGUGAUGAUCCUGAGGUUGUGUAGAUCAUUGUGGUAUAUUCAUAUACCCAAAUUGAGCAUCGUAUGAGAAGUUAUUACAUAUUGUUGGUUAUGUGCUUUAAAUAACUUUUUUAUAGUUGUUUCGCAUAUAGGUGAGACCUAUCACGAGGACGAACGCAUUCAAGGGCGUCACGGGGGUUACGACCUUUCGACUUACCAGUGAGUGGACAGUUAUUUUCCGUUUAUACCUAUAUACUACUGAUUUUCCCAGAAAUUGAAUAUAAAUGAAAGUAUGUUUUAAAAUGCCAUGCAUGCAUAUUCCAUGAAAAAUAUGAAUUAGUAUUUGAUGCAUAUAUGUGAAAUGCUGUUGUGGACGCACAUGUGAGUAUCAGGUGAGUUUAUGUUGUUCAUAUGGUUUAUUGAUGAUGUAAAUUGUGUUGAGAGCUCAUAACCUGCACCCUGGUGUUAGUGCUUAUAUUAUUCACCCCGCACCACACGCUCACCUUGGAUCCAAGUAAGUGCAUGUCGUACAAAUCACUAGAGGUGAUUCCGACAUGUCGUACAGACCAUUAGAGGUGAUUCCGACUUGUAUGUGACUUUAGAUUAUUAUACAGCUGUUGAUGAGAGAAGCACUAUAGCGUAUUCUUACACCAUUCUUGUCGUACAGACUACUUCAGGUAGUUCCGAUUUAUGUGCAGAGUAGUGCCGUAUAGGUCACUGUGGUGACUCCGGUUGGUUGGAUAUUGAGCUAUAGAAUUAAUCGUACAGGACAACUGCAGGGUCUCAGGUUGGUACAUUAUUUCACUUGUUUUAUUGAUAUCCUUGUCAUGUUUUGAAUCAUAGCAUGGCAUAUUCUUGAAAAGUGUUAAAGAUUUGUGAUUUGAGUUUUGCUGCGAUAUAUGAUUAUGUAUAUACUAUUUUUUUGGGAAAGUAUACAAGUUUUACAGUGAAGGGUUAGAAGUGUUGUUAAAUGAAAUAUUUUUGAAAAGCUUUGUUUUACUGACCCACUCAAUCUUGUUUUGCGCCCCUCCAAGUUCUAGUUAGCAGUGUUUGAGGCUCACGAGGAUUCCCAAGGCAUUCUGACAGACUACAUAAAUGUAGGACUCACCUUCGGGUGUUGUAAUUUAGUUGUGGUCCUACUUGACUGCACUUAGUAUUUAUGCUCUAAACAUGUGUGUUUCACACUUAAACUCACUCUAGCAUGUUAGUUGGAUAUUAUUGCUAGUAGUUGGUUUUUAUUCCUUCGUAUUUCUCUUAUCUUUUUGCUUCUGCGUCACACUUUUGGUUACGUCACGCUCACAUGACGGCCAACACGCCUUGAUUUUAGGAUCGGGGUGUGUCAUAUGUGUGUGUGUGUGUAUGUGGGUAAUUAUUUGUACGUAAUGAUUUAUUAGAUUUAUUUUAUGCAAGAACCUACUUUUGAUAUGUAAAAUCCUUUUUGCUACAAAUUAUUUCAAAAAUUAGCUAGUAUGUAUUUCAUGUUCAUAUGUAAUUAGAGAUAUUUUUAGUUUGAAUUGGAGAAGGGGAUUAUGAUGAGUUUGGCUUGAUUUUUUUUCUCACAAAGGCUAAGUGGCGUUUUGGCAACCAUUAGGGAAUAAAGAGGAGGAGUUAGUCAUUACUAUAGAUAGGUUGAGGUGGGAUUCUAUAUCUUAUAAAGUAUGGAUGUGGCCUUUCGGUAUAAUUUUUGUUUUUAACUAACUUAACACAUGUUGCUUUGUUAUACGAACACAUCCUAUUGUCAAUGAUUAACUUCACAUUUGGUGUGUUUCUAUUGGAACACAUAGUAGGGCUAAUGAUUAGCUUAACAUUUGUUUUCUUUCUAUUGGGACCACAUAUCAUGGUUGAUAAUUGGUGAUGAUUCAUCCCCCUAAUUGUUUGGACGUGGCCUUUGGGUGCAAGGAACAUCUUGCAUGAUAUUCAUUAGUUCAUGAUUAAUCUAACACUUGUUGUUUUUCCAUUGGAACACAUCUCAUUCUUAAUGAUUAGAACAACAUUUGUUGCCUUGUGAUUGGAACACAUUUUAUGUCUAAUGAUUGGCAACACACUUGGUUUCUUUCUAUUGGCACACUUGAGAUUUUUUGGAGAGGUGGGAUUCAUAAUCCUUAGACUUUGAACGUGGCUUUUGAGUAUUUGUCCACAUGCAUGAGCAUGAUUGCUUCUAAUUACAAGAUGUCCAAGUGUUGCAAAACAAAGUGAAACGUGUCCUUAAGGCUUAAUGGAGGAUUCCAUUUCUUCAUCCAUAAAAGGCAGAGGGAAGAAAGAACACGGAAGAAGAGAACACACACCAGCAAGAACUUAGUAACAACAAGAAAAAUCUCCCCUUCUCAAACCACUCUUCCCACCAUCCUUUUCUUUUACCUUAUGUAAAGGUUCUAGGCCAUCUUCAAUGUAUUUUGUAAAUCUCUCUUACAUAGUGAAAACAUAAAUGCAUAUGCAACCCUAGUGGACAUAGCCAAAUUGGUGAACCACUUAAAUCUCCGUGUCCCUUUGUCUAAUUGCAAUAAAUUUGAGUUGAGCAAACCAUUUAGACACUGAGUUAUUAAAUAGAAACAUUCAAGGGCUGAAGUUUGCCUUGAAUAUAAAAUAAAAAACCUUGUGUAUGUUAGGCGUAGGGUGUAGGUCUUGAGUAUACAAAUUGGUUAAUUAUAAAAUAAUGAAAUCUUGUAUAAGUCAGGCACCGGGGGAAGGGCUUGAAUAUACAAUUGGGCGUCGAGGAAAGUGCUUGUAUAAUCAAGUGGAAAUUGAAAGUUUAAUUACAAAAAUUGGGGUUAAGGGAUGAACAGGAGUUAACUCAUAUUCUAAGGUAUCCGGAGCCAAGUGGUAUAAGCAUGGUAUGAGACGUGCAGGCUUGGGUGCCUUAAAUAUGUGUUGACAUGAUUAGAAGGGAGUGAGUACAUUCAUGCAUCUCAUUGCAUACAUUUUAUGUAUUUGCAAGAGCUACUCAUUUCAAUUUAGUUGGUACUAUUGUUAUGAAUUAAUUUUGUAUACUAAUAUUUUAUUUCCGCUGCGUACUCAAUAAAUUAUAUGUAGUAAACUCAAACUUUUAUUCUGAAAGAUUUGUAUACAGUGUAAUCGUUGUAAUUUAAUUUAAUUUUCCGCCAUAUCUUGGUUGUAUAAUUUAUUUCUAUAGCUAAAAUAUGGCUCACACCCUAACUCGUGGAUAGUCUUUAUUCGCGGGUCGGGGCGUGACAUAUUUACACUAAGGGGUGGGGAGCAUGAUCUCACAGUGGGCUUGCCAUAAUAAUUCAACUUGAAUUCGCCUGCGGUGAGAAUUGAACAUAAAACUUCUCACAUCCAAGUGAAGAAGAAUACUCCUAGGUUGUAGUACUAAGUGUCAUUGGUCCAAGGCUUUUAAAUCAAAUAGGUGCUACUUAGUACCACGAUCUAGUGAUAUUCCUUUUCACUUGUAAGUGAAAGGUCUUAAGUUCAAUUUUCGCCAAAGGCGAAUUUGAACCACAUUAUUGCUAGCCAUUGUGAGGCUAAGCCCAUCCCGCAUCCCCUUAGUGUAGAUAAUAUUAUUUGUUAAAAAAAAAAAUCAAAUAGGUUUACCUAUAGUCGCUUUAGAAAGCAGUCUCCUCCACAGCACCCUAAGUAUGGCAGACUCCGAGUGUUUUUUACUGUUAAAUUUUUAUUUAAAAAUACAAAAACUAAGAUCUAAUUGUUAAAACACAUGAAACAUUUCGUAGUCCACAACACUCUAGAAUUUUUGUUCGGUAGAUAAAAAUGGAGGAAAACUAAUGAAAUGAGUUUGAAAACUUUGAGUUUUAAUGAAAAGAACAAAAUAAAGGGUAAAGUGAAUAGUACCAUGAUUGAUUUAUUUAAUGUAAAAAUGUGAUUUUUUGUUAAAAUGAACAGUACCAAAAACUUUUCGUUAAUGUUUUCUAAAAAUGGCAUAAAAGAUUUUGACUUAAUUGUAACUAUGGUCGCUAAAAGUGUCCGCUAGGUAUACUUUGGUCCCGUAACUCGAAUAAUGUCUCGGAGUCCUUAAAACCGCCUCGUGUCAUGGUGUAAAACCUUUUCGACUGGCAAUGUACUUAUUUGAGCCAUAAAAGGGAAGAAGCUAAAUCAUCAUACAUUCAACUAAUCAUCCAUCCGAUACAAAAAAAAUUAUCCAGAAACUGUUCCUAAACUAGAGCAAACGAAAGUAACAACAAAAGAUGAACGAGAUUUUAAGAGAGAGAGGGCCGUAGGUAAAUAAUCAAGAAAUUGACAUAAGACGGAAGCUGUGACAUUUCUUUGACUCCAAAACUAAAAGCCAACCCCAAAAAACUCAAGCAAUACCAUACAGUAAAAACUUAAAGACAAAUUCCUUGUGUUGACAGGUACAAAUCUUGAAACUCCAGGGGCAGCAAAAUGAGAAGACGACGCCCUUCAGCUUGACCUAUCGCUCUCACGAUUAGGCAGAACAGCAACUAUCUUUCUUAACAGCAGAAACGUCAUCCUUGUUUCCGACAUUUAUGGUCUGUCCCUUGGGCAAUGCUGCAGGAUCAUCUCCGACCUCUAGUGCUUUCCGGCAGACUACAUGGUAUAUCUGUGUUAGGACUUCAGUGAAAGCAUUUUCAACGUUCAUAGACUCGAGUGCUGAUGUCUCCAUAAAGAAGGUGUUUUCUCUCUCAGCAAAAGCCUUAGCAUCCUCAACAGAAACAGCACGCAGGUGACGCAGGUCAGCUUUGUUACCCACGAGCAUUAUCACAAUGUUGGAGUCUGUGUGAUCCCGUAGCUCCUUCAACCAUCUCUCAACAUUCUCAAAUGUCACAUGCCGGGUGACAUCAUAGACAAGCAAAGCGCCAACAGCUCCUCGGUAGUAUGCACUUGUAAUUGCACGGUACCUUCAACAAAAGAAAAAAUUACUCAAAACUUAAAAUUCGGGCAAUCAUCAUUCACAAAUGACAACCGCAACCACAUCAAAACAACAAAUUAUUAAAUGCCCUGAAAGCUAUUAUCUCAAAUCUUCUAGUCUGCUACCGAAAAGGUUCACCAACACAAACUAAAGACUACAUCUGCUCGGUAGAAGGAAAGCAACGAAUAUUCAGUACCAAUCCUAUUUCCGAAAAACACACUAUUCAACACAUAAAGCCACAUUAGUAGAAUCCCUUGUUGGAUUUACAUCUGACGGUACAGGAGACAUCUUCACUUACCAGAUGACCUACUUAUAAUGUUCAAAAGUUUAUCCUUCUGCAAUGAACCAAGCAGAAAGAACUAAACAUGUACUUUUUCGAUGCUCAAUUCUUUGCGAUUAUAGCUUACAAUUUCGUAAUUUUGUAAUUUGAUAAUUCUAUUAUUCAAUACAAGAGAACAUGUUCAAAUUCAGAAGUGAUCUUACAUUGGUGUCAGAUUCUGUUCAGCAUUCAAACAAUAAACCGAAAACAAAAAUAAAAACCCAAUUAGUAGCAGAUCUCGAUUCGUAUGGCGAACGAAAACUCUAAACAGUCCCUUCAAUUUUCCCACAUUUUCUCAGCACCCAAUUACCCUUUUUCCCACAUUUUCUCAGCAUCCAAUCACCCAUUUACCCAAAUCCCAUAACAAAAAAUAAAAAAAUAAAAAAAAGGCAAACAGAUUGAAAUUAUCGAAAUGUGAAUUGGGCGAGAAAGUUAAAAACCUUUCUUGGCCAGCGGUAUCCCAAAUCUGGGCCUUGACGAUCUUCUCAUCAACGUGGAUACUCCGAGUGGCGAACUCGACGCCGAUCGUCGACUUCGACUCGAGGCUGAACUCGUUGCGCGUGAAUCUCGACAAAAGGUUGGAUUUUCCGACGCCGGAGUCGCCAAUCAACACCACCUUGAACAGAUAAUCAUAGUCGUCAUCCGCCCUGUACGCCAUGGCUGCCCUCCUCCCUCACAAAUCCAAAUUCGACUCGGCGGUUGGGUUUGGUUGGGUUCUGGUUUCCGGGUCGGAUCCGAAUUGGGUCGCCGGAUUUAUUCAAUUGGAAGAGCGACUCGGACUCGGAGGCAUGGAACGAAGGGAGGGAGGAUUGUGUGAAAACGGAAGGACGGCAAAUUUGAGAUUUUCUGCUGCUGAUAAAAAAUGAUAUGAUAUUUGAAGAGGUGUAUCACCUUGUGCCAUGUGGGCCCCACCCCAGAUUUAAGGCCCUUGUUUUUUCACUCCUGGGCCUGAAGGGUUAAUAGUUAUUUUUCUUAGAGGAAUCUUCGUACACUCAAAUUUCAUUAACCACUCGUAAACCGAUACGUAGAAAAAACUUAUUCGUUUUAAGAUGAGGUUUCAAAUUUUAAGUCGAAUGUCACACAAUCAAAUUUAAAAGUAUGAAGAACCUUCAACCGACAACGUGGAUUGAUGACAUAUGAAUGAAUUUUCUGCUGCCAAAAUUAACAUAUGAGAAAAGUGCUGCCAAUUUUUUUAUAAAUUAUCUUAUUGGGUGAGUCCUACAAAUAUCAUUUAUAAGAUAAAUAAUAAAUAGAUUAGAGGAAGAGAAAAUUUGACACUUGUCACAUUAGCUAUUAAAUUAACAUUUGAUAUUUAUUUUUUGACACAUUAGAGAUGGUCUUAGUGAUUUCUUAAAGAAAAAAAAUUAUUUAUUUUACGGCAAUAAAAUUUAGAGGGAAAAUUUGGAGAGAGUUGGAGAUUUCGCUGUAGAUGGUGUGAUUCAGAGUUUUCUUACUUUGUGGAUGCUUCUGCCUGUUUAGAGAAAGAAAAAACGAGGGGGUUGCAUGUUCUUGCAAACCAACAUUCAAAACUCACUUAGAAUAUAUUCAAACUUUGAAUAGAGAAGUAGAUGAGCUUGUGGAGACAAAACUUGGUUUUAAAAAUUAAAAAAAAAAAAAAUCUUUUUGGUGCCUUACAUCUCAAGCAAUCAAAAUCAAGAUAUACCUUGGGUUUGUUUGUUUGUUUGUUUUUAUUUUUUUGGAGAUGAAAAUAACAAUUACAAAGAAAAGACUUGUGGCGAGAAGAGCUAGCAAAAUCCCAUAAUGGAAUUUUAGAAUUACGCUUUUUUGUUGAAGCAUUUAACUCCAAGAUUCCAUGAUAAGGGGCCUAGUGGUAAUCUAUGCCCAAUUAUACAAGAAUAGAACAUUUUAUUAAUUGUAAUAUAAUAGGAAUGAGUGACUUGUCAUCCAAGAAAUUACAAUUUUAAUAAGAAAGACUUGUCCUUCAAGAAAUUACAAUUCUCUCUAUGCUUGUGCUCAUUAUUAUAGUGAUGGUGUAAAUCCUAGUUAUUAGAUUGAGUUUUAGAUUACUCCUUAUUAUAGUGAUUCUUUACUACUAGAAUUGUAAUUACUUGGAGGAUAAGUUAUUCCUUCCUCUUAGAUUACUAUUAAUAAAAAAGAGUAAUGCUUGGAAGACUAAAUUUGUAAACAAAAUUUUGUAAACUAUAUUACAUGAAAGUUGAUGGUUGGAUUAUUACUUAAGUGUUGAUAAACGUGCUCAUUCAUAUUAGUGACCACAUCAUUUAGUUUGUAAUUUUUUGUCUAUAAAUUUAGUUUUCCUAGUAUUACCCUUAGUAAAAAUACUGGUAUGUAAGAAUCACACAAUCUUAAACAUUCUACAAUUUCUCUCCACGCUCUCACUUGCCGCACCCUCUCUCAACCCUUUAGAUAAAUGGCCUCAACACAUAUCACAACGUUAUGGUAAAUGUUCUAUUCUUGUAUAAUUGGCACAGAUACACCAAUUAAAUGAAUGGUUGGAUCAUGUGGAGUAAAAGAUCCAAUGGCCAAAAAUAAAAGAAGAAGAAAGCAAACAAAAACAAGAAGAAGAAAGCCUAAACCACACCCCUGAUUAUACAUAAAUAAAAUCCAACAGCUUAGAAAAUUUUGCCAACUUAAAACAUGAAACCUGUUUGAAAUCCAUGACCCGUUUUAUGAAGAACCCUUUUGAUUUUAUAUUUUUUCCACGAAUUCGUGGCUCCUCAUUCUAAUCCUCCCUAACUCUACAUCGUCAUCUUGUUAGACAAUGGCAAAGUGUUGCAAAAAUUAAUAGUGUUGUGAGAACAUUGUCCCGAUUGGAUUAAAGUUAAAGAAUCAUUGUCACAAUUUUUUUUCAAUGCACUAUAAAUUACGUGCCAAAAAAACAAAGACUGCAGUAUAUAUUAUACCGCUGGUGAAAAUUAGGCAACAUACAUAUAACGUUUAGCAAACAUAUGAGAAUAAAAUCACUUCCAAGUCGAAAUAGUUAGGAGAAAAAAGUAAGCAAAAUAAGGCCGUUAAGGUCUGCCAUGCAUCCUGGCCACUCUAUAGUACACCGUGACCCUCCUCUAUACAAAUUAUACAGCGGCGGGGCUUUCUAACUAAAUCUGCAACCAUACUAAAAAAUAAAUAAAAAAACUAGUNNNNNNNNNNNNNNNNNNNNNNNNNNNNNNNNNNNNNNNNNNNNNNNNNNNNNNNNNNNNNNNNNNNNNNNNNNNNNNNNNNNNNNNNNNNNNNNNNNNNNNNNNNNNNNNNNNNNNNNNNNNNNNNNNNNNNNNNNNNNNNNNNNNNNNNNNNNNNNNNNNNNNNNNNNNNNNNNNNNNNNNNNNNNNNNNNNNNNNNNNNNNNNNNNNNNNNNNNNNNNNNNNNNNNNNNNNNNNNNNNNNNNNNNNNNNNNNNNNNNNNNNNNNNNNNNNNNNNNNNNNNNNNNNNNNNNNNNNNNNNNNNNNNNNNNNNNNNNNNNNNNNNNNNNNNNNNNNNNNNNNNNNNNNNNNNNNNNNNNNNNNNNNNNNNNNNNNNNNNNNNNNNNNNNNNNNNNNNNNNNNNNNNNNNNNNNNNNNNNNNNNNNNNNNNNNNNNNNNNNNNNNNNNNNNNNNNNNNNNNNNNNNNNNNNNNNNNNNNNNNNNNNNNNNNNNNNNNNNNNCCUCUGGCUGGAUCUGUUCGAGAUGGCCUAAGCUCUAGAGCCACAGUCUUAAAAGCCAAAAUUAGCUAACACAUUUGUAGGUAAGCUCACUUCACCAUAUAAACGCAUUAUAUGUAGAAUGAACACAUAUGCUGAUGACAAAAUAAAAUAUAGAUGCCUGCAAGACAUAUAAGGGGCGUUUGUUUGCCCUCACUAAGUGGUACUGGACUAGACUGGACUAACAAUUAGUCUAAUUUAGUGUUUGUUUUGUACUAGGAUUAUCUUUAAUGAGACUAAGAGGGACUCGCACGGACAAACUCCUUCGCUAGGAGUUCUUGGCCAGACCCCCCGAUACCCAUGGGAUUGCUAAGACCUCGUCUACUCCGUCCUCAAUCCUCAUCGUGCUUUUAUCUCUCUUGCUCUCUGUUCUUUUGAGCACCGACAACCACCAUCACACCACAACUCGCCAACUCCAGCGAGACCAUACCACCAACCUACCACCACUUUCUCCCUCUCUCCUCACCCUGAACCCAGAAUUUCGAACUGAGGAAGAUCCCGCUCUUACCGUUGUCUGUCCAACUCUAGUCGUCCUCCGAUCCACCCUCGAGGAAGAUCUCACACUCGCCGUCCUCGAUUCAAUACCGUCGAGGAGUUAUGUAGGUUAAUUUAUUUCAUUUCCUGUAUUUUUUUUUUGUUCAAUUUCAAACUCGUGAUGCAACUCUAAAAAAGGGCAGCAAAGCCUUGACCCGCAGCUCCAACACCGUCCCCUUUAUCCAGCCCCACUAGCUUGUUAAUCAGGUUUGUGUUAAUGGGUUUGAUAAAAUUACGUUAAGUCUGAGACAUUGCACCAAACGCUUCACUAAGUUAGUCCAGCUUAAUCUAGUCUAAGCCAGCCCAGCUUAGUCCCUGAAGCUAGUCCAAUCUGAGACUGUCCGGUGCAAAACAAACUCACCCAUAAAGCACUACUCAUAUUAAUUCAUCUAUAUGGCCCAAAGUAAGUUAGAACUACUAUUCAGUAGCUCAAAGAAAACCAAGAAUUAACUUUGAAGGCAAGUGUCAAAUUGUCUUAAUGGAUAGAGCAUUUCUCUACAAUUUACUACGUUCCAGAUUUAAACUCUCUCCCUUUUUAGUUUAGUUGAAUUUAGUGUAAAUUAUUCAAUCAUUUAUCGAAAUUUUUUGAAGAAGUAUAUAUGAUUUAAUGAGAUGGUUGGAUUUUGACAUUAUUAUCCAAGGGUAGUGCUAUAUGUACACCCUUUUUAACUUCUCCACAUCCCUCUCAAUUUUUCAAUCGUUAGAUUGAAUGAAUUGAAGAGGAUUCAUGACAAAAAAUUAAUAUAAAGGUGUAUGAGAGGUAAUACUGAGUGUGUAAAUUGCACUUUCCUUAUCCAAAUGAUUGUUCCAAAUCUAGUCCAGUUAAGAAAAUCUGUGAGUAUUUAAUGGAGUCGGGCAUGAAGAAGUAAUGAAUUCUCCCACAAAUAAAAAGAAUAUCUUGUAAAAACCUAUGUUACAUAGUGGUGGCAAUGUGUUAAGCCUUUACAUGAUGGCGUGGAUUCAAAUCUCGUCGGUGGGUAAUUUGAUAUCUAAUCUUACAAAAUCUAUCGUUUGACAAAAAAAAAAAAAAAAAAAAAAAACCUAUGUUAUCGUUAUCCCUAAUUUUCUAAUCAUUUGAACGAUUUUAACUGGCCUAUUAUGUAUGAAUGCUUUUGUAGAAAACACUUUUCUUUUCAAUUUCUAUAUGUGGGAAUACUUUUGUGAGAAGCAUAUCGAAAUUUCAAUCCACUUGGCAUUACAAUUUAGUGGUAUUUUUUUUCACUUAUAAAUAUGAGGUCUUAUAUUCUCGUGAAUAAUAAGUUUAGUACCAAAUUAUUACGAUUGACUUAUUAUGUGGCUUAACUCAAAUUUUUAUCCCUUAAUAUAAAUAUAUUAUUGUAUCAAAGAAAUUCAAAUUUUUUCAACACUUGAAAUCACUAUUUCACGAAUUGAUUUUGCAAUUCCUCCUCACAAAAAACAUUAAAAGUGCUCUAUAACUUAACUAAUAAUUUUAUCAUUUUAGGUGGAAUGUUCUAAGAAACUUAGUUAAAAGCAUUCACCUCUAUACUAUUUAUUAGGUUUGGCAAUUCCUGACACAAUCCGAUAACCCAACACGACACAGCACGAAAUUAACAGGUGUUCGGGUCGACACGAUAACAAAUCGGGUCAUUAUUGGGUAACCCGAUAAGCACAUGUUAAGAUAACGGUUUGGUUUGGAUAUACACGUGGAUAACAUGAUAAACGAUAAGCAAAAUAUUAAUUUUAUAAUUUUAUAACCCUAAAAAAAUACUAUAAUAAUUAUAUAUAUUAAUUUAACAAUUUUAUACCCCUAAAAACUAUAAUAAUUAUAUAUAUGGGAUAUGAUCAAGGGACAAACAUUUUGACAAAUAUUUUUACACUUCUUUUAAACCUUUAGAUUACAAAACAUCCAAAGGUCCAUAUUCAUUCAUUAAAUGACAUGGAUGCUUAAGGGAUUUUAACUAAUAUUAAUGACAAAAAUUAAAACUGAAAAAAAAAAUUCUGGAAAAUUAAAAAUAAAUUUUAAAAAUGGAAUAAACCCUAACUAGUUGUAAUCAUGAAAACAAACUACCUGCAGACUUUGAGCCAAUAACAAAAACAAUGAAAUCUCUUUUUAAUUUGCCGAUUGCGUAUGCAAAGCUUGGAUAAGAUUGUUGCCAAAAGUCCCUUAAUAUCUACAGAAAAAUCACCAUUAGGUAAGCAAAAGUAGGCUUGGCAAACGGGUCGUGUCUGUCGUGUUCGUGUCGUUUUCGUGUAACACCUGUUAUCUUAACGGGUCGUGUCGUGUCACACCCAUUAUCUUAACGGGUCCUUAACAGGUCGUGUCACUUUACCCAACGGGUAAAGUGACCCGACCCGUUAUGACCCGUUAAGAAAAAUAUAUUUUUUUUUAAAUUUGCACAUACCACAUAUUGCCAUAUAAAUAUUACUUCAAAACAUUAAAACAUUUGUCAUGUAAGUACUAUAACUACACUCGAAAAUAAGAGCCUAAUAAAAAAAAAUAAUACAUACACUACUAAUCUAUUAUAAAUAUUAAAUGUGCAAGGAUAUGCAAAAUGAAAGAGUUUUUGUUUUCACGGUUGUAAGUCUUUCUCAAAAGAUUAAAUCUCAGCCGAUCCAAAUGGUCAUCAAUUUUUUAAAUUUAAUUUAAUAUAUAUAAUUAUAUUAUAUAAUUACUAUAGUUUUUAGGGGUAUAAAAUUGUUAAAUUAAUAUAUAUAAUUCUUAUAGUUGAUUCAUACUUUUAUUAAGUAUAUAACAUAAGAUUUUGUGAUAUCCACAUCCACUAGUGUAAAUAUUUUAAAUUGAAGAUCAAAUUCAUAUAUGGUCAAGGACUGUAGCUGUAAAAAAUCAUCAAAAUUGGAGUUAAAAUAACCGUUAAAUCGUGAUUUUUCGUUUAUAACCGUCGAAAAGUUUUGUCCCGUUACUUGAUCUCUGAAUGUUUGUUUUUUGUGAUUUUUUGCUUAUGUGAUCUCGAAGCAUAUACAAACAAGUUUAACGGUUGGGAUCGUUGAAAUUAGUUUCGGAGAAUUCGUAUCCCAUCAAAACAAUAGAUUGACUAACACUUAAAGUUUAUUUAUAUUUUCAUUAAGUAUAACAUAAGAUUUUGUGUUAUCUACUUGUGUAAAUAUUUUAAAUUGAAGAUCGAAUUCAUUCUUUGUAUUCAUAUAGGGUCAAGGAGUGUAGCUGUAAAAAAUCAUCAAAAUCGGAGUUAAAAUAACCGUUAAAUCAUGAUUUUUCGUUUAUAACCGUCGAAAAGUUUUGUCUCGUUACUUGAUCUCUAAAUGUUUGUUUUUUGUGAUUUUUUGCUGAUGUGAUCUCGAAGCAUAUACAAACAAGUUUGAUGAUUGGAAUCGUUGAAAUUAGUUUCGGAGAAUUCGUAUCACCCAUCAAAACAAUAGAUUGACUAACACUUAGAGUUUAUUUCUACUUUCAUUAAGUAUAACAUAAGAUUUUGUGGUAUCCACUUGUGUAAAUAUUUUAAAUUGAAGAUCGAAUUCAUUCAUUGUAUUCAUAUAGGGUCAAGGACUAUAGCUGUAAAAAUCAUCAAAAUCGGAGUUAAAAUAACCGUUAAAUCGUGAUUUUUCGUUUAUAACCGUCGAAAAGCUUUGUCCCGUUACUUGAUCUCUAAAUGUUUGAUUUUGUGAUUUUUUGGUGAUGUGAUCUCGAAGCAUAUACAAACAAGUUUGACGGUUGAGAUCGUUGAAAUUAGUUUCGGAGAAUUUGUAUCCCAUCAAAACAAUAGAUUGACUAACACUUAAGAGUUUAUUUUUACUUUCAUUAAGUAUAACAUAAGAUUUUGUGGUAUCCACUUGUGUAAAUAUUUUAAAUUGAAGAUCGAAUUCAUUCAUUGUAUUCAUAUAGGGUCAAGGAGUGUAGCUGUAAAAAAUCAUUAAAAUCGGAGUUAAAAAUAACCGAUAAAUCGUGAUUUUUCGUUUAUAACCGUCGAAAAGAUUUGUCCCGUUACUUAAUCUUUGAAUGUUUGUUUUUUGUGAUUUUUUUGGUGAUGUGAUCUCGAAGCAUAUACAAACAAGUUUGACGGCUGUGAUCGUUGAAAUAUGUUUCGGAGAAUUCGUAUCCCAUCAAGUUCAAUGGUGUAUGUAUACAUAUAUAUAUAUAUUAAGUAGAUUUAAAUCUAUUUAUUUUGUAUGUAUAAUUGACCGGUACACAGAAUAGUACAUCACGUGUCAUUAUAAAAAUAGUGGGAUAUAUCAUGUGCGAUAAAAAGUUAAUAACUUAAAAAAAAAUAUUCUCACCACUGCACUUCUAUUAAUUUUAUUUUUUCCCUCUCUUUUUUGUUUCCUUUUCAACUUUUCAUAUAAUUUUCACUUUUCCCUCCACCCUAUCCAUUCAUCUUUCCCUAAUUCCCUCUCUUUUUUGUUUCCUUUUCAACUUUUCUUAUCAUUUUCAUUUUCCCUCCCUUUUUCUUCAAAAAGGGCGGCAUUGCAGCAAGGAAUGGAAUGGAUCAAUUAUGGAAUCAAAAUUCAAAUCAAUGGAUGCAUACAUAUUAAUUAAUAAUUAUUAUAGUUUUUAUAAUUCAAAAUUUAAUCUAUAUAUAUAUAUAUAUAUAAUUAUUAUAGAUAGUUAAUAUUUUGGGGUAUAAUUAUUGUAGUAUAUAUAAUUAUUAUAAUUAUUAUAGUUAAUUUAAUAUAUAUAUAUAGAUAUUUAUUAUAGUUUUUAGGGGUAUAAAAUUGUUAAAUUAAUAUAUAUAAUUAUUAUAGAUAGUUAAUAUUUUGGGGUAUAAUUAUUAUAGUAUAUAUAAUUAUUAUAAUUAUUAUAGUUAAUUUAAUAUAUAUAUAUAUAUAUAUAGAUAUUUAUUAUAGUUUUUAGGGGUAUAAAAUUGUUAAAUUAAUAUAUAUAAUUAUUACAAUAUUUUUUUUAGGGUUCUAAAAUUAUAAAAUUAAUAUUCUGCUUAUCGUGUAUCGUGUUACCCACGUGUAUACCCGAAUCAACUCGUUAUCUUAACAGGUGCUUAUCGGGUUACCCGAUAACGACCCGAAUCGUUAUCGUGUCGACCCGAACACUUGUUAAUUUCGUGUCGUGUCGUGUCAGGAAUUGCCAGGCCUAAGCAAAACACAAUCCUAUAUUCUUUAUUAUUUUCCUCUCUCCUUUUUAAUUUUAAUUUUAAUUACCUUCUAUAUUUUAUGCUUUUUGAAUUUUAUUUUUAUGUUUAAUAUUAGUUAAAAUCCACUUAAGCAUCCAUGUCAUUUAAUGAAUGAAUAUGGACCUUUGGAUGUUUUGUAAUCUAAAGGUUUAAAAGAAGUAUAAAAAUAUUUGUCAAAAUGUUUGUCUCUUGAUCCUAUCCCUAUAUAUAUAUUAAAUAUAAUUUUAAAAAAUUGGAGAGACCAUUGGAUCGGCUGAGAUUUAAUCUCAGCCGUCCAUUGUGCAUUAGGUUGGAGGCUAAUAUAUUUUUAUAUGGUAUAGUACUAUUGUUUUAUUUCUUUUCAUAAUUAUUUUGGUAAACUUCUCAUAAUUUGAAUUGUUUUUAAUGUUUGAUUUUUCUAUACUUAGUUUAUGCGAAAGAGAGUUAUGAUGUGGAAAACCUUACUGAAAACAUCAUCAACAUAACUCUUGAAGGCAAUAGAUCAUGCCAAAGUUCCAAUACAAUUUCUUCAUGAUGAUCGAUGAAAAUUGAGGAUUUUGUAAAAGGAAUAACAUGCAAGCUUUGAGUUCCAUUGGUAAGGUUUAAACUUUUGAGAAAGGCUUCACAACAUUGAAACCAAAAAAACUCUUUCAUUUUGCAUAUCCUUGCACAUUUAAUAUUUUGUAAUAGACUAAUAGUGUAUGGAUGGUUUUUUUUUAGGCUCUUAUUUUCGAGUGUAGAUGUAGUACUUAAACGACAAAUGUGUUUUAAUGUUUUGAAGUAAUAUUUAUGUGGCAAUGUGUGGUAUGUGCAAAUUUAAGAAAAAAAAUUAUAUUUUUCUUAACGGGUCGGGUUGGGUAAAGUGACUCGACCUGUUAAGGACCCGUUAAGAUAACAGGUGUGACACGACACGACCCGUUAAGAUAAACAGGUGUUACACGAAAACGACACGAACACGACAGACACGACCCGUUUGCUAGGCCUACUAUUUAUACAAAAAAUAAUCAAUCUUGUAUCUGAUUUAGAAAUUUCUCCUUUGUAUUAUACUUAAAAUAAAGAAAGGGUAAAUCUCAGUUUAUUACCCUCAAGUUUCACGGUUUUCAACAUUUAGUACAUGAAUUUUUUUUCGUCCAAGAGUCAUACCUAAAGUGUUAAUUUUGGGACAGUCUCAAACAUCUGUUAGUCUAGCUGUUAAGUCUUUCGUUAACUGAUGACAUGGAGCUCAUGUGGACAAAUGACUGGACGCCACAUGUCAUUAAGGGUCCACGUGAAAAUAAAAAAAAUAAAAAAAUAAAAAAACCAGAAUUUCAGAAUUCAAAACUCCUUUCCCAUUCCUCUUCUUCCCAACCGCCUUCCCGAUUUCUGGAAACACUGGCAGCCAUCUCAGCACGUGCAAGCCCCUACAGGAAUCCAGUUCUGGCGGAAUGGAACCUCAUUUCCCCUUUUCUCCGCGCCCAAUUCUCCACUCGCGAAAUUGGCUUGGCGAAUGGGGUUUCCUGAUUCCACAUCACGAACCCUACAAGAUCGCUCAAAAUGCUCGAACCCAAUACACUAUUUUCAUGGAGGGUUGAGGCGCCUCUAAAUCCCCGUACGGACUACAAGUCGUGGAGGGCGUUGGCGAAGUCGAAGACGUUCGUGUUGGUGCGCUUAGCCAUGGUAGCAUAGGAGGCGGAGGCUACGACGCUGAUGUGGGUUAGGGUUUCGAGGGUAGAGGGCUUCAUGGAUUUGAAUCCGACUAAUUGGGUGAUCUGAGACUGGCAAUGGCGAAUUGGAACUCUGGUGGGAUCAGGUUUUGGAUUGGAGGUGCUGGGCUUUGUUUGAGUUUUGGGAUUUUGUGUCAUGAUUUGGAUUUUUGGGACAUGGUGGUGGUGGCGUUGGCGGAUUGGAAGAAGAUUUAGUGUUGCAGAUGAGGAAUGGGAAUGUGGUUUUGAAUUUUAAAAUUUUGGGUUUUUUUUUGUUUGAAAUUUUAAUUUCCACGUGGACCCCUUAAUGACACGUGGCUCCCAGUCAUUGUCCACAUGGACGCCACGUUAUCAGUUAACAAAAAACUUAACAACCAGACUAACGAAUAUAUAAGACUGUCCCAAAAUUAACAUUUUAGGUAUGACUCUGGGAUGAAAAAAAUUCCAUGUACUAAAUGUUGAAAACCACGAAAUUUGAUGGUAGUAAACUGAUAUUUACCCUAAAAGCAACAUUCAAAAUGCGGGAAGAAAAGAAUAAAACAGAUGGGUGGCGAAUGACAGUAGUUCCAAUAUUAGCCAAUCAUCAGGAGUUGGAUUGUGGACAGAACCAACAUCUUUAAAUCGGAAUAAAAUUAAAAAUGUCUGACAAAUAUCAAAGUUUUCUCUCUCUCUCUCUCUCUCUCUCUCUCUCUCUCUCUCUCUCUCUCUCUCUAUGCCUUCCAAGCAAAAAUUUCACUGUUCCAAAAUCACAAUCCCUCCCUUAUUCACCUCAAUUUUUUUGCAAGUUUUUUAAUUCUUAAUCUCAUGCUUUUUGUCUCUCAGAAUAGAAGGAGAAUAUAUAGAUGGGCUUUUUAGCAAAAUGGUCUCUAAGAUUUGCAUAACACAUAACUUUAGUCUCUGAGAUUGGAAAUCAAUAGAAGUAGUUCAUGAGAUUGUCCACUAUCUGUUAUUUUGGUCAUUCCAUUAAAAAACUCAGUUAAAUGGUCCCUGAGCUUUUUAACGUUUUAACGGAAUGACCAAAAUGAUGGAUGGUGGAUAAUCUCAGGAACCAAAAGUUAUGUGUUAUGCAAAUCUCAGAGACCAUUUUGGCUAAAAAUACCCUCAACUUAAUGGAGUUUUUUAACAGAAUGACCAAAAUAAUGGAUAGUGGACAAUCUCAGUGACCACUUCUAUUGAUUUUCAAUCUCAAUGACCAAAAUUAUGUGUUAUGCGAAUCUUAAUGACCAUUUUGACUAAAAAGGCUAUAUAUAUAUAUAUAUAUAUAUAUAUAUAUAUAUAUAUAUAGAGAGAGAGAGAGAGAGAGAGAGAGAGAGAGAGAGAGAGAGAGAGAGAGAGAGAGAGAGAGAGAGACAGAGAGAGAGAGAGAGAGAGAGAGAGAGAGACUUUAGAUGCGGUCGCUAACCACUAAUACUCAUUGAUUAUAACCUUAGUGGUUUUCAAUUUUUGAUCAAAAUCCUUUAACUUUGUACACCUCAGCAUAUUAAUAUUAGGGUUAAUCUCUGUUUACUACUCUGAAGUUUCGUGGUUUUCAACAUUUAGUACAUGAAGUUUUUUUCAUGCCAGAGUCAUACCUAAAGUGUUAAUUUUGGGACAGUCUCAUACAUCCGUUAGUCAAACUGAUAACUCUGCCGUUAAAUGAUGAUGUGGCGCCACGUGUCAUUAAAAAAAUAAAAAUAAAAACUAUUAAAAUAAUUAAUAAAAUAAAAAAGUAAAAAAAAUUAAAAAACCAUCAUCUCCUACCUCUUUCCCCCACCCCGAUCCCAACCAUCAUUCCCUCCUACCUUACCCCCUCCCCUUGCGAGAAAAAACCCAUCAUCUUCUACCUCCCCCGAUCCCACCCAACCCUUCCUCUCUUUUCUCCUCUACGCCCACCCAACCCUCCCUCCCAUGCCCGAUCUAAAAACCCUCUUGGACUGGCGAAGAUGAACAAGAUCGUGGUGAGAUCGUUGGUCGGUGGUCUGCACGGUGCCCGAAACUACACCGCUGCAUUUCCACGACGGUUGCUGCUAGGUUGUUGGACGACGUCGAGUUCCUGAGCCGCCGGAGCAACGACGAUGUUAGCAAAUCUGGGGAUGGCUUCGAAGUUUCUAGGUUUUGGUAGGAGAGAAUGAAGGAAGGGUUUGGAGCUUGCUCAGUCUGUGGUGUCGCGGCCUUGAACCGAACUCAUCGAGGUUGCACAUAGUAGAACAUUCCACAUCGCCACCAACAACCUUGUCUGCCUGCCAACACCACACACAUCCCUUACGCCGCCACCAGGAUCCGAUCCGACCCAGAGUCGCUCUUGGCUUGUAGAUCCGAGUAGGGGUGUGGUGGGGUGUGAGUUAGUAAUGAAAUUAGUCAAACUUGGUUAUUUGACUAAUGAGGUGUAAAUCAAUAGGUUUGUAGGUGUAGGAAGGUGUAAAUCAAUGGGUCAACCAGAUUUGGUUGAUUUGAGUGGUUUGAGGUGAUUUGCUCUGGUUUGGGUGGUUUGAGGAAGGGUGUUGCAGGUGCAGAAGAGAGAAAGGAGGGAAAGGGUGCGAGUUGCAUAGGGAAGAAGGAAGGGUUUUGUGAUGGAGGGGGUGGAAGGAUGACUGUGCAGGUGGGAAAGUGGUGGAGAGGGUGGAGAAAAUGGAGGGAUGUCGGGGAAGACGACGGGUUCUGGGUCGGAUCGACGUGCAGGUGGGUGGGGCAUUCGGUGGUGUACGAGUUCGACGUGCAGAGGAGAAAGUGAUGAACAGAGAAGGACUAGGCCUAUGUAGAGGGAAAGGGAGAAAAAACAAAAGGGGAUCUGGGGAGAAGGGGGAGGGGGAAGGGGAAGGAUGGAUGUGCAGAUGUGCAGAGGGAGAAGGGAGGGAGGUCGGGGUGGGGAAGACAAAGGAGAUAUGGGGAUUUUUUUGUUUUUUUACUUUUAUUUUAUUAAUUAUUUUAAUAGUUUUUUUUUAAAUUUUUUUAAUGACACAUGGCGCCCAGUCAUUGUCCACGUGGACGCCACGUCAUCAUUUAACGGCAGAGUUAAUAGUUUGACUAACGGAUGUAUGAGACUAUCCCAAAAUUAACACUUUAGGUAUGACUCUGGGAAGAAAAAAAUUUCAUGUACUAAAUGUUGAAAAUCAUGAAACUUCAGGGUAGUAAACAGUGAUUAAUAUUAAUAUAUUUCUAUGUCAACAAUAAAACUUGAGAUUUUAUGGUAUUUAAAAUCUCACAUCUAAUGAGGUAUAAAAAAAAAGGGCCAACAAAAAAUAUGGAAAUUUUUUUCAAAAAUUUUGAUUGAAUAAAAAAUCAAUAUAACAAUAUAAUUCCUUUUGAAAAUGUAUACUAAUCAUUUACGCAUAUAUAUGUAUCAAUCAAUUGGAAACAGUGUUAAAAAGUGUCAACAGAAUGUAUCCAACAUUGUUAUGAAUUUGACCAAAAGAAAACUUUGUUAUGAAUGACAAAAUAGUCAUCACAUGUCAAAAGAAUGUACCAGUACAUUCGUCAUAUGUAAUUAUCUAUGGGGUACAAUUUCAACAUUGUUCCAAAAGUAAAAUGUUUUAACAUGUAACUCAUAUAAAUGUUUUGAAAGAAUGUACCCAUAUAAUUAUGGGAGCUUUAUAUAUAGAGACAAAAAACUUUCAUUAUAUUUCAAGGAACUCCACUAGUUCUUAAACAUGUCAAUGAGAGACAAAAACAUAAAAACAACUAAAGCCCAACCCAAAAACAUGAAAACAAUGUUUUAAAAUACCAGUUAUACCCCUAAGGCUUUAGAUUAAACAAAAACCCAGCCCUCACAACUCCAACAAAAUUAAUAUAUUCCAUAAGCUCAACUCAUCAUCCACUAUUUAUGUAACAUCCCACAUCGCCCAUGAGAGUGAAUCAUCUAUGCCUUAUAUGUAUAUUCUCAUCUCUACCUAGCAUGAGACAUUUUGGGAGCUCAUUGGCUUUGGGUUCUGUAGGAACUUCAAAGUUAAGAGAGUUCGCACGAGAGCAAUCUCAAGAUGGGUAACCCACUGGGAAGUUUUCAUGUGAGUUCUCAGAAACAAAACUAUGAGGGCGUGGUCGGGGCCCAAAGUGGACAAUAUCGUGCUACGGUGGAGUCAAGCCCGGGAUGUGGUGGGGGCCGGGCCGGGAUGUGACAAUUUGAUAUCAGAGCCAAUCCAUGGCCAGAUGUGUGUGUCGACGAGGGCGUCGGGCCCCUAAAGGGAUGGAUUGUAACAUCCCACAUCGCCCAGGGGAGUGGAUCAUCUAUGCCUUAUAUGUAUAUUCUCAUCUCUACCUAGCACGAGGUUUUUUGGGAGCUCACUGACUUCGGGUUCCGUAGGAACUCCGAAGUGAAGCGAGUUCGUGUGAGACAAUCCCAGGAUAGGUGACCCAUUGGGAAGUUCUCGUGUGAGUUCUCAUAAACAAAACCGUGAGGGCGUGGUUGGGGCCCAAAGCGGACAAUAUCGUGCUACGGUGGAGUUGAGUCUGGGAUGUAGUGGGAACCCGGGACGGGAUGUGACAAUUUAUGCAGAAUCGGUUUUGAAACUAUAUGCAAAAUCAGUUUGUAUCAUAUAUUACUAAAAUCAGUUCAAUCUGUCCUUGACCAUAUUUGUAGAAUCAGUUCAACUCGUCAUUGACUAUUUUUGCAGAAUCAGUUUAACCCGUCAUUGGCCAUUUUUUGUAAAAUCAGUUCAACUCUUUUGCUGACCAUUUUUACAGAACUAGUUCAAUUAAUCAUUGACCAUUUUUGCAGAAUCAAUUCAACUCGUCUUCGACCAUUUUUGCAGAAUCAGUUCAACCCGUCUUCGACUAUAUUUGCAGAAUCAAUUCAAUCAGUUAUCAACCAUUUUUGCAGAAUUAGUUCAACCCGUCCUCAACCAUUUUUGCAUAAUCAGUACAACUCUUGCUCGAUCAUUUUUGUAGAAUUAGUUCAACUCGUUAUCGACCAUUUUUGCAGAAUCAGUUCAAUCAGUCAUCGACCAUUUUUGUAGAAUUAGUUCAACCUAUCAUCGACCAUUCUUGCAUAAUCAAUUCAUCUCGUCCUAAACGAUUUUUGCAUAAUCAAUUCAACCCGUCUAAAACCAUUUUUACAGAAUCAUUUUAAUUAGUCAUCGGCCAUUUUUGUAGAAUCAGAAUCAGCUCAACCUGUCCUCAGCUAUUUUUACAGAAUCAGUUCAACCCGUCAUCAACCAUUUUUUACAUAAUUAGUUCAAUAAGGCAUUGAUUAUUUUUGCAGAAUCAGUUCAACCCAUCUUCGACGAUUUUUGUAAAUCAAUUUUAAAUAUAUGUAAAAUCAGUUUUGUAUAUACUUUUUUAGUAAAAUCAAUUUAUAUAAUUUCUCCAUAUAUAAAGCUCCCUAGUAUAAUCAGUUUAUAUUUUUUCAAAAGAAAAUAAUUUAAAAAUUAAAAAUUAACUUAAAAAAUUAAGUGGGAAGUGGAUCCCACCCAUCCUUUCCACCUACCAUCCCACCUCCUGACCUCCCAUUCUUCUUCGUCACCCUUAAACUCACAAUCCCUCAUUAUUCACGACUUCAUCCUCUCCAAUUUGUUUCUUCUUCUUCGGACAAAUUUCAGAACUUCCAAUCUACAAGUCGGUUUGACAAACGGUUUUUACUACGGAAUCAGUGAAUGUAACCUAACUAGCUAAGGUAAUUUUUAGAAACAUGCAUUCUGGUUUUGAAAACCCUGAAUACCAUACAGUAAAAACUUAAAGACAAAUUCCUUGUGUUGACAGGUACAAAUCUUGAAACUCCAGGGGCAGCAAAAUGAGAAGACGACGCCCUUCAGCUUGACCUAUCGCUCUCACGAUUAGGCAGAAACAGCAACUAUCUUUCUUAACAGCAGAAACGUCAUCCUUGUUUCCGACAUUUAUGGUCUGUCCCUUGGGCAAUGCUGCAGGAUCAUCUCCGACCUCUAGUGCUUUCCGGCAGACUACAUGGUAUAUCUGUGUUAGGACUUCAGUGAAAGCAUUUUCAACGUU